UUUGUAUGAUGAUAUCUGCAAUUACCUGACACAAUUGUGGAGGUAAAAACUGAUUUAAUGAGUCUGACAA